GGGAAGGGAUUAAGACUAGGAAGUGAACAACUAACAAGUCUCAGAAGUUCCUGAGAUUUACAAAGCCCCUUCCUCCCCAAGGACACGGAAACAGGAGAGCCCUUGAUCUGACUUGUUGAGGUGCCAGAACUCCAGGAUUUCAAGUUUGUCAGCCAUCACCCAUGCUGGGGUUUUUGGUGAUGCAGCUGCCUUCACGUUGUCUCUGAUCCCAUAAGAAGCCACUGAUUCAUACUCCUAACCUACUUUUUCAAGAUUCCACCAUGCAGCAAAGACCAGCAUUUCUUCAGGAAUCUUCCAGGACUCCAGCACCAGAUUGGGACUGCUGAGACAUUCAGUCAUGUGGACUGAGCAACUACCAGAUUCUCAGCCUUUCCACUGGGAGACUACUCUUGUUGAAAUAUCCAGAGCACAGCUUACUACCUGGGACUGUCUGGACAAGCUGUACCCACUGUUAACAGCAAUUGCUCACCAACUUCCAUGUGACUAAGGCCACACAGGGGAGGCCAGCUUCUCUGAAGAGGACUCUGAACUUCCCACAGAGAGGCUGCAAGAUGAGAUCUGAAGAAGUGGGCAACCCUUAGGAGAAGAAGGUGUGGGCGGUCGUGUAUCCCCUCCUCACUGACCCUGAUAGGUCAAGGGGUCACUGGGACUGGUGGAAAGGCCACUGUGGAUGGAGUAGAACGUAGAGGGAAGGUGGGUGGGUCUACUCCACAGAGAACCUGAAGUCUGAAUUGAAGGCACGUCUUUCAAAUUAAGGA